AAGUAUUUCUCUAAUUGAUUUAUAAAAACACCUAUUUGAAGGAAAUCUGCAACACUGGAAUAAGGGUAGUUCAUCUCAACCAGUUCUCAUCCAUCGGCUGCACCAUUGAUCUAUUGAAACCUACUGAAAUGGCUGCACAUUCUUUUUUCUUCAAUAGUACUUAGACAUUACAGCUAAGUGUUUUCUCAGGAUACCAAGAUACAGGUAC
rnacentral:lncRNA from 1 species